rnacentral:rRNA from 1 species
UACGUAGGUGACCAGCGUUGUCCGGAUUUACUGGGCGUAAAGAGCGCGCAGGCGGUCGUUCAAGUCGAGUGUGAAAGCCCCCGGCUCAACUGGGGAGGGUCACUCGAUACUGAUCGACUUGAAGGCAGGAGAGGGAAGCGGAAUUCCCGGUGUAGUGGUGAAAUGCGUAGAUAUCGGGAGGAACACCAGUGGCGAAGGCGGCUUCCUGGACCAACACUGACACUGAGGAGCGAAAGCCAGGGGAGCAAACGGG